rnacentral:lncRNA from 10 species
UUGUAGAGACAAGGUCUUGCUGUGUUGACCAGGCUGGUUUCAAACUCCUGGCCUCAAGCCAGCCUCCCUCCUUAGCCUCCCAAAGUACUGGGAUUGUAGGCAUGAGCCACUGCACCCAGCCAAAUGUGUGUUGUUUCAAGCAAAUCUGUGAUAAUUUGUUAUAGCAGCCAUGUUACACUAAUGGAGUAAUUGAUAAGUAUUUGGUUUUGAAAUAUUUUGAUUCUAUCCUCUCUUGUUCCUCAUUGAAAUUUCACCCUAUUUACUAUUAUAUUGAUUGUUGUUAUUAGUGUUAUUCUUGCUAACAUAUAUUGAGCAAUUCCUAUGUUCCAGGAGCUAAGUACUAAAUGCACAUUAUCUAAUUUCAUGAUCACCAUAAUCUUAUGGGAAUGAUACUUUCUGUAUCCAUUUCAUAGAUUAAGAAACUGAUGCUUAGCGAGGGGGAAUCCUGCCCAAUGUCACACUGCUCGUAAAGGGUGCCACUGGGAUUUGAACCUAGGUAGUCUGGCUGCAAAAUGCACCCUCUGAACCCCUUCACAUACUCUCUCUCAUCCUCAGGAGUGAUCUUAUCCCCUCACUACAGAGAUGAGGAAACUGUCCCCUGGGAGGAGGAGUGACACUCUUCAGUCUUCCCAGCCAUGUCUCCCGCCUCCAUCCCCAGCCACCUCUCCACCACACCUGAAUAAGCUCAGUUAUAUUGUCCUCCCCUGGUACCUGGCAUCCAAGUGGGAAAACCCAGGUCUCUCUCCUUGCAAACCAAGUAAUCAUCCAUGUCAUUUCACUGGAGAGAAGUGGAAUUUGUCACAAAAUACAAUGAUAACAAGUUGCCAAGGACCUGAAGUUCCUGCAGACUAAAUCUCAGGGUCAAGCAAAGCAAGGCACGUGGGAGUCUGGGGGCACUGCCUGGGGAUGCUCUCAUUUCUCUGCAGUUCUUGUGCGUGGGCUGUCUUCUCACAGUGUUGUCAGCUCAGCCAGGGCAGCAACAGCUUCCAUGCAUCUAACACAGCCCUCAGGGAGCAGCAGAGGUAGGGAUUGACUUGCAUUCAUGUUACAUUCUGGAAGAAAGGUGAGAUGCUCAGCAUGAGAAGAACAUAGAGCCU